GACGAACGCUGGCGGCGUGCUUAACACAUGCAAGUCGAACGAUGAACCCGGAGCUUGCUCCGGUGGAUUAGUGGCGAACGGGUGAGUAACACGUGAGUAACCUGCCCUUGACUCUGGGAUAACUGCGGGAAACUGUAGCUACUACCGGAUACGACCCUCGGAGGCAUCUCCUGGGGGUGGAAAGAAUUUCGGUCAAGGAUGGACUCGCGGCCUAUCAGCUAGUUGGUGAGGUAAAGGCUGACCAAGGCGACGACGGGUAGCCGGCCUGAGAGGGUGACCGGCCACACUGGGACUGAGACACGGCCCAGACUCCUACGGGAGGCAGCAGUGGGGAAUAUUGCACAAUGGGCGCAAGCCUGAUGCAGCAACGCCGCGUGAGGGAUGACGGCCUUCGGGUUGUAAACCUCUUUUAGCAGGGAAGAAGCGAAAGUGACGGUACCUGCAGAAAAAGCACCGGCUAACUACGUGCCAGCAGCCGCGGUAA
rnacentral:rRNA from 1 species